UACAUAGGGAGCAAGCGUUAUCCGGAUUUACUGGGUGUAAAGGGAGCGUAGACGGCAGCGCAAGUCUGGAGUGAAAUCCCAUGGCUAAACCAUGGAACUGCUUUGGAAACUGUGCAGCUGGAGUGCAGGAGAGGCAAUCGGAAUUCCGUGUGUAGCGGUGAAAUGCGUAGAUAUACGGAGGAACACCAGUGGCGAAGGCGGAUUGCUGGACUGUAACUGACGUUGAGGCUCGAAAGCGUGGGGAGCAAACAGG
rnacentral:rRNA from 1 species